rnacentral:rRNA from 2 species
UAGGGAAUCUUCGGCAAUGGACGAAAGUCUGACCGAGCAACGCCGCGUGAGUGAAGAAGGUUUUCGGGUCGUAAAACUCUGUUGUUAGAGAAGAACAAGGACGUUAGUAACUGAACGUCCCCUGACGGUAUCUAACCAGAAAGCCACGGCUAACUACGUGCCAGCAGCCGCGGUAAUACGUAGGUGGCAAGCGUUGUCCGGAUUUAUUGGGCGUAAAGCGAGCGCAGGCGGUUUCUUAAGUCUGAUGUGAAAGCCCCCGGCUCAACCGGGGAGGGUCAUUGGAAACUGGGAGACUUGAGUGCAGAAGAGGAGAGUGGAAUUCCAUGUGUAGCGGUGAAAUGCGUAGAUAUAUGGAGGAACACCAGUGGCGAAGGCGGCUCUCUGGUCUGUAACUGACGCUGAGGCUCGAAAGCGUGGGGAGCAAACAGG